rnacentral:rRNA from 1 species
UACGUAGGCAGCAAGCGUUGUUCGGAAUUACUGGGCGUAAAGCGUGCGCAGGCGGUUUUGUAAGUCUGUCGUGAAAUCCCCGGGCUCAACCUGGGAAUUGCGAUGGAGACUGCAAGGCUAGAAUCUGGCAGAGGGGGUAGAAUUCCACGUGUAGCAGUGAAAUGCGUAGAGAUGUGGAGGAACACCGAUGGCGAAGGCAGCCCCUGGGUCAAGAUUGACGCUCAUGCACGAA